rnacentral:rRNA from 1 species
AAACUUUGCAAUGUGCGAAAGCACGACAAGGUUAAUCCGAGUGUUUCCUGCUAAAGGAAUCUUUUGUCAGUCAUAACACCACUGAUGAAUAAGGGGUGGGCAAGUUCUGGUGUCAGCCGCCGCGGUAAAACCAGCACCUCAAGUGGUCAGGAGGAUUAUUGGGCCUAAAGCAUCCGUAGCCUGCUUUGUAAGUUUUCGGUUAAAUCCAUAUGCUCAACAUAUGGGCUGCCGGAAAUACUGCAUAGCUAGGGAGUGGGAGAGGUAGACGGUACUCCAUAGGAAGGGGUAAAAUCCUUUGAUCUAUGGAAGACCACCUGUGGCGAAGGCGGUCUACCAGAACACGUUCGACGGUGAGGGAUGAAAGCUGGGGGAGCAAACCGGAUUAGAUACCCGGGUAGUCCCAGCUGUAAACUAUGCAAACUCGGUGAUGCAUUGGCUUGUGGCCAGUGCAGUGCCGCAGGGAAGCCGUUAAGUUUGCCGCCUGGGAAGUACGUACGCAAGUAUGAAACUUAAAGGAAUUGGCGGGGGAGCAC